rnacentral:ncRNA from 1 species
CCUUUGGAGAAUCCUAUCAAACGAAAGUAGCUAACGGCAAAAUCGGAUUCAAUGAAGUAAGGAA